rnacentral:rRNA from 1 species
AAAACUCAAAUGAAUUGACGGGGGCCCGCACAAGCGGUGGAGCAUGUGGUUUAAUUCGAUGCAACGCGAAGAACCUUACCUGGUCUUGACAUCCACAGAAGAAUCCAGAGAUGGAUUUGUGCCUUCGGGAACUGUGAGACAGGUGCUGCAUGGCUGUCGUCAGCUCGUGUUGUGAAAUGUUGGGUUAAGUCCCGCAACGAGCGCAACCCUUAUCCUUUGUUGCCAGCGGUCCGGCCGGGAACUCAAAGGAGACUGCCAGUGAUAAACUGGAGGAAGGUGGGGAUGACGUCAAGUCAUCAUGGCCCUUACGACCAGGGCUACACACGUGCUACAAUGGCGCAUACAAAGAGAAGCGACCUCGCGAGAGCAAGCGGACCUCAUAAAGUGCGUCGUAGUCCGGAUUGGAGUCUGCAACUCGACUCCAUGAAGUCGGAAUCGCUAGUAAUCGUGGAUCAGAAUGCCACGGUGAAUACGUUCCCGGGCCUUGUACACACCGCCCGUCACACCAUGGGAGUGGGUUGCAAAAGAAGUAGGUAGCUUAACCUUCGGGAGGGCGCUUACCACUUUGUGAUUCAUGACUGGGGUGAAGUCGUAACAAGGUAACCGUAGGGGAACCUGC